rnacentral:lncRNA from 1 species
CCCAUAAGCCGUAUGACGGUUUAUGCCUGGUUCGUAAGGUAAGAUAAAUGUCAAGUUUCCGCAGAUAAAUGUGAAGUUUCCGAAGAUAAUCACAAAGAUCGGGAAAAACGGAAUAUCUCCAUUUUUAAGCUAUGAUGGCUUAAGGGCAGAAGGGGAAAAACGUAAACCAACCUAGGAGCAAGUAUAUAAGGAGUCCUAGGCGAGAGGCACCAGGGAGAACUUUUUAGACUCAGAAUUCUCUGCACUUAGAAACUUUAGGCUUUAUUCUCGAUAAGUUCGGUUUCUAUGACUGGC